rnacentral:lncRNA from 1 species
AAGAAUUAUCUUACUUCAUGUAUGGUAUGCCAACUGUUCGAUAAAGGUCCUUUUAGAAAUCUUCUAUUGAUUACCUUGCGAAGACCACAAAACUAGACACACCCAAAAGCAUUCUUGCAUAGUUUAUACAUAGAGAUGGCCGAUUGAUGAUCGUCUUAUUUGUAGACUUAACGCGAGCAGACUCGAUCGCUUAGUCCUUAUUGAUUUACGACACACAUGCUCACACACACACAUACACACAUCACAAAAUCACACAAAUUGACGGAUAAUGUUGCCGUUCAGCUCCUUCCUGAACCUCACCGCGGCAUUUUUCUGCACCAUAGUGGCCGUGAAAUACCACGAGACGAUGUCAUGGACGGCGACGUGUUGUCCGGUGGCGGCGGAUAGCCCGACCUGAACCUGCUGAGGAACAAAGUCGCUCAAAUCGUACUCAUAGUUGACAUCAAAUGUCUGCGAGCCGGCGGUGACUUUCACGGAGAUCAUCCUUGUGGCUCCGACGUAGUUGAUCCGCGCAGUCACCUGCUGCCCGAGUAUGGAGUUGUCGACCUUCGUCGUGUUGCUGGAUGCCCUAGAGCCGAAGUCGAUGCCGAUGUGGGGAUAGAGCGGAUCCCACGCGCCGUUGACGUAGGUGUCGAUUUCGACGGCGAAGACCGAGGGGCUGUUGCCGUUGGAGCCAAAGAUUCCGAGGUUGGCUCCGUUGGAGCCAGGGGGGAUGGUGGAACCGACGGGGGCAAUGAAGAAGGCGAGGCCGUCGGCAGGCUCGUUGUCGGCGCCCGGGGUGAUGAUGAAGUUCACAGUGGUUUCGAAGUCGACCUGCCCACCGGACUGCGAGAAUUGGACCGGGUUCGAGUGCAAGACGCGGCCGACUUGUGAGGGCUGUGCGUCUGUGAGGCGGAGGAAGGUGGAGUCCGUCGGGAAAUGGGCGCUGCCUUGAUAGAUGAGAUCUUUCGGCUGGUCGCCCCAGAAGUCGUAGGUGAAGGACGUCGUUUGGGACAACGCCGUGUUGGAAACGGCGAGGAGGAGGGCGAUGGAGGCGAGGAGAGGAGUUAAGGUUUGAACAAGCUGGUUGGCCAUGGCUUAAUUGAUUUAGAUUUAGAUUUAGAGAUGUGGUGGAUGAUGGUGGCCAGGUAUCGAUCUCUUGCACCUAUUUAUACUAGUAUGGUUCAUGCCUGUUAAUAAUUGUAUAUAUCAAUCAAUCAUCGUGCAUCUAUCCCAAAUUAUAUGUCUUAUUAUUCACUAAUUAGAUGGAAUAAAUCCUAAUUAGCAAUCUUAAAAUUACACCGCCAAUGAGGCCUUGCUCUAGUGGUAAAGCUGUGGCACCGAAUAACUUUUCUUUGUGAAAGGUCUUGGGUUCAAUCUCGCCUGCAUGCGGUGAUGUUUGUCCAUUUUAGAUGGUGUGGUAUUCUUGCCUGCGUGCGGUGUUGUAUUAUUUAGUCUUAGGCGUUCUUGCCUGUGUGCAUAUCACUGUGUGACAAUUAAAAGAAUGACUUUAAAAUAAAAGUUAAGCCUUAAAAAUUUAAUCUACAUUCAUAUAUAACUGAAAUUACAUGCAUGUCUAAUUUUUUUAAUAUCAUAACAAGAUAAGAUUUAUUAAAUAAUUCAGAUGCAUAAAUAAAAAGUUAAUCUAUAAACACAGUAUAGAUAUAUUAUCAAUGAUAGGCCGUGUAUAAGUCUUAAUCUGUAAAACUAUAUCAUCCCAGCCUUAAACGACUACCAUUCCUGCUUUCCCAGAGCAACCACACUGUUCCCACCCACAAAGCUUUAAGCAGUACAUGCAUGUCUAAAUAUUAUUUAUAAUUAUCAAUAACAAGAUUAAUGAUUCUAUAUCUCUAUGUUUAUACAUAUAUUCACGUAUGACAUAGUAUAUAUUAGCUAUUAAGUUAAAAACUAAUAAAAUACUACAGUUUUGCAUAGGAUAUAUAUUUAAUUAGUAGUAGGAUAGGACACGUGUAUUAAUUUUAAGGGCAAGUAAUCAAACUUUUGAAUGAUUCAUCAUGCUUAAAAAAAAAAAGAGACCUAGAUAGAUGAUUCAUCAGAUUCAAAAACAAGUAUAAAUAGACUUCGAGUUUGAAAUUUUAAUUAAUUUGCAACAACAAUUCAAACUGACUGUAUUAAGGUAAGUAGUUACAGAUUUCAUACACAUUAUAUGAUUUCGCGCACAUACGUAUGUAUAUAUAAAUAUUUUUUAAAAUCAUAUACUCCCUCCGUCCCCAAAAUAAGUUCCUCUUUGGGGACGGCACGGAUUUUAAGGAAAAGUGGUAAAGUGUAUUAAUAGUGGAGAAAAAUAUGUUAUAAUUAGUAUUGGAAGUUGUGAAAAGGUGAAAAAGUGUUAUAAUUAGUAUUGGGAGUGGUGAAAAAGUGAAAAGUAAGAAUAAAUAAAGUAUUAUUAGUGGUGGGGUAGUUGUCCAAAAAUGGAAAAAAAGAAAGAGGAACUUAUUUGGGGGACAUCCCAAAAUGGAAAAAGAGGAACUUAUUUCAGGGACGGAGGGAGUAUUAUAUAAUAAUUAUAUUUAAGUUUUAUAUUAUUCUUUAUAAACUAUUGUUCCAUUCUAUAUAAUUAGGUGUGGCACGACUAGGACGUAACUUUCGAUUGAAUUUCUCAAGUUAAUUUUCAAGUUCAAGUUUCAGGUGUGAGAUUUAUUUAAAUACAUGUCAUGAUUAUUCAUUGUCCAUUUUAAUAGUAUGUGUUUACCAUAUGUGUUAUGACGCAUAUUUUGAGGACAUCGCUAGGAGCCCAUAAAUAGGGUCCAGGACUUCACCGUCCUUGGAUUGCCACAAUGCGAUUUGAGGUUUAUUUUGAGGAUGUCGUCAGGGGCCCGUAAAUAGGGUCCAGGACUUUAAUAGUCAUUGGGUUGCCACAGUGCGAAUAUUGAAGAUAUAUAUGAAGUGACCGUAUGUGUUACCGUUUCAUUAACGUGGACAAUGAUUGCAUGUUUAAGAGACAAUAACCAAUUUUUCAGACAUUUGUGAACAAAAUGAAGCAUGUUUAGAGAUCCUUAAUAAAGGUGUACGAAAUGAUGGAUAAAUAAGUUUGUGAAACAAAUUUCACCAUACCUAACCCCACAAUUAUUUGCGGUCGAAUUUCCUCGUCACAGGAAAAAGAGAUGAUGACAAAAGGGCAAAAAUUAAUUAACAAAGUAGAAGAUGCAUGACAACUGUAAAAGAAAAAUAAUGCUACUAAUUAAAUAGUCCAAACUUCAUACGUUUCAUAUCAUAAGUGGCAGUUCUAUUUUUUUUUUGCGAAAGUGAACAAAAUAACGAAUAAUUUUUAAAGUAAUAGUAAUAAGGAGAUGUGUUUUGACAGAAAACGACAUGAGCGGCCUAAAAAUAAGAGGGAAAAAGAUAAUCAUAUAAAUAUGGGUUAAUUGCCUCUAAAUACACCACCUUUCCUUGAAUUCUACAAUUGCACAUCACCUUUAAAAUCCGCCCUUAAAUACACCACCUUUCCUUGAGUUCUACAAUUGCACAUCACCUUUAAAUCCGCCCCAAAAUACAUCAUCUUUAUAUUUUUUCUGUUUUUGCACAUGACUAAAAAAUUCUCAAGAAAUAAAUUAAAGUGUUAAUUUAUAAAUUUAAAUAUCUUUUUAGCAGCGAAAACAUAAUAAAAUAAAAUUCUUUAUAAAGUUUAAAAUCAUAUAUAUAUAUAUAUAUAUAUAAGUAUUUUCGUAAAGAAAUAAAUUCUCUAAUAAAUUUUUAGAAAGAACUUGAAUUAAAAAAAUAAACAAGUCAUGACAUUAAGAAAAUAAAAUGAAAUUUUUAUUUUAAUAAAUUUCACACGAAUUCGAUAUAAUUUGGAAUUUAGAGUUACAAUAAUCAGAAGUACCACAUGAAUAAUAUAAUGAGUUUGAAAGAAAUUUUUUUUAAAGAGGUUCGACACGCCCAUUCGACUUUCCACGCGCCUCCAAUGUCAUUUACCUGAAAUAUUAANUAUAUAAGUAUUUUUCGUAAAGAAAUAAAUUCUCUAAUAAAUUUUUAGAAAGAACUUGAUUAAAAAAUAAACAAGACAUGACAUUAAGAAAAUAAAAUGAAACUUUUAUUUUAAUAAAUUUCACACGAAUUCGAUAUAAUUUGGAAUUUAGAGUUACAAUAAUAAAAAGAACCACAUAAAUAAUAUAAUCAGUUUGAAAGAAAUAUAUAUAUAUUUUUUUAAAGAGGUUCGACGCGCCCAUUCGACUCUCCACGCGCUACCAAUGUCAUUACCUGAAAUACUAAAUAUGGGAUAAGCAUACAUAAUAUACUUAGUGUGGGAACAUGCAAUUAUUGUCCACGUUAAUAAAAUAGUAACACAUACGAUCAUAACAUUCAAAACGACACAAUUUUGCCAAUAUGGAAGCCACGUCAUUUAAAGUGGUAACACCCUAAUCUAACUAAAGUGUUAAAUAUAAAUUUAAAGCGGAAAUAUAAUAAAAUAAAGUUCUUUAUAAAAAUAAAUAAAGAAUUUUAUUUUAUUAUAUUUCCGCUGCUAAAAAAGAUAUUUAAAAUUUAUAAAUUAACACUUUAAUUUAUUUCUUGAGGAUUUUUAAGUCAUGUGCAAAAACAGAAAAAAAAUAUAAAGGUGAUGUAUUUUGGGGCGGAUUUAGAAUUCAAGGAAAUGUGGUGUAUUUAGGGGCGGAUUUUAAAGGUGAUGUGCAAUUGUAGAAUUCAAGGAAAGGUGGUGUAUUUAGGGGAAAUUAACCCUAUAAAUAUUCAAAAUCAAACGGAUUGGCAUGUAUUCAUCAUUUUUUAUUUUUUAUUUUGAUAAUUUAACAGUAUUAAAUAAAGAAAUUUAUAGGCUGCGUCCCUUACUGCUUGGCUUUUAGAUUAUGUUGUAAUAAUAAAAUUAAAAGCACGUUUACAAUAUAAAAUUAAUUAUGAUAAAUACAAUAUAUUAAUAAUAAAUACUCAAUUACCUCUUAACAUAAUUCGCGCAUCAUGGCUUUUAGCUUAUAUUAUAAAGAUAUAAUAUGUUGUCUAUAAUAAUCGACGGAAGGUAAUAGACAACAUGUUUUACUUCUUGUCUAUAAUAAUAUAGACAGUAGAUCUAGUGUUAUAGAUAACAAUUAAUACGUGUUGUCUAUAUGAUGAUAGACACCAAAAAUCUCUGUUGUCUAUUCUAUGACAAAAAAAUUUAAAAAAAUUCUAAUAUAUUUACAUCCCUGUAUUACAAUACCAAUAUAUAUGAAAAAAUAAAAAUAAUUAAAAAUCAAAUAAUCAAACAAUACUUAUAAACCACUAAUACUCACAAUCAAAUAUUUACACAUCAACAAUUGUAUUAUCUUUAAUUACGCCUUCAUUUAUCUACUAAAAAAAAUCUCUAAUAAAAUCUCUAACUAACUCCGGUCAUCAUCUCUUGAAGGCUUAGAAAAUGUCCAAAUACAGCGGCACAUGCUCAUUAUUGUGUGAGCGAUGAGAACUUUGCGCUGAACCUAUAAAGUAACUAUACUUAACUGGUAAAGUAAUUGUAUCCCGUGAAUCUAAAGGAAGAAUAAACACGUUGAUAGAGUUUGAAAGAAAAGAAUAAAGAGAAUGAAAAUCCAAAGAAUUUGCUUCUUCCGUUGAACAAUCCCUACACAACGUUGAAAUAUCAAUGAAAACAAUGGCUAUCCUAUACUCCCUCCAUCCAUGAAAGAACUUCCUAGGAGGGAGUGACACGGGUUUUAAGAAAAAAUAUUGUUAAGUGUAUUGAGAGUGGAUAAAAGGUAGUUGAGUGUAUUGGGAGUGGUGAAAAUGUGUUAUAGUUAAUAUUGAGAGUUGUGAAAAGUGAAAAGUAAGAGGAUUAUAAGUGGUGGGGUAUAGUCCAAAAAUAGGUAGGAAGUUCUUUUGUGGACGUCCCAAAAAGGAAAGAUAUGAAGUUCUUUCGUGGACGGAGGGAGUAUUAUUUUGCAGCAGCAACCACGUUUAAAAACUCGAUCCCUCUAUUCUUGAAUUUGUGAAAUUUCCGACUGAUUUAUUAGAUUCACCAUUUAUUUCAGUUUAAUUAGUCUAUAUAUAGAUAUUUCUUAUAUUAUUAAAUUGUUAACCUCAUGGUAGAUUUCAAGAUUUGAAAAUUCAACAAAGAGCUUGAGAAUUAUAGAGAUUGGAAGGGGAAGAUGAAACAUAGUUGGGUGAAAUUAGAAACCAAUUAAAGUCAGGAGAUUGAAGAAAAACAUAACUUAAAAACACAAAAUAAGCAAAUCGUAGAUGCAGUAUCUUGCAAGAAAAAGUUCAUAUUCCCAAGGCUAUGAUGAGCACGAAUUAGGGUGUGUCUGCAUUUUAUCCCUCUAAAUGGAGGAAUAAUAAAAUUUUAUGCCUUUAAAUGUUUGCUUUCUUAUCACACAUUCUAAACAAACACCAUUUUUUCUUCCUUAUUUUCACUUCAAUGAGGGAUAAUAUUAUCCCUCCAAUUUUGGUGUGAUAAUAUUAUCCCUCCUACAAGUGAAAAUAAGGAAGAAAAAAUGGUACUCCCUUCGUCCCAAACGAAAUGUCCUGUUUUCCUUUUUGGGCUGUCCCAAACGAAAUGUCCUGUUUCCUUUUUUGGCAAUACACUCUCUCUCUAUACUUAAUAUUUAAAUAAUUUUCACCAACCCACUUUAUCUACUUUAUACACAUUUCUUAAUCUCCGUGCCGAAAAGAAAUGGGACAUUUCGUUUGGGACGGAGGGAGUAUUUGUGUAGGAUGUGGGAUAAGAAAACAAACAUUUAAAGACAUAAAUUUUUGUUAUUCCUCCAUUUAGAGGGAUAAAAAGCAAACACACCUUAGAGUCUAAUUACAAUUUAGGCGCAGGCUGUGUGAGAAUUACUUAGUCGAAUAGGAUCCUUAGUAUUUAUAUUUCUCAUGUUCUUGUGUAUUUUUUCACUGAUUCACUAUUGGAUUAACAAGAAUUAUCUUACUUUAAAAAAAAAAAAGAAAUGAUCUUACUUCAUGUAUGGUAUGCCAACUGUUCGAUAAAGGUCCUUUUAGAAAUAUUCCAUAGAUUACCUUGCAAAGACCACAAAACUAGACACACCCUGCAUAGUUUAUACAUAGGGAUGGCCGAUUGAUGAUCGUCUUAUUUGUAGACUUAACGAGAGCAGACUCGAUCGCUUAGUCCUUACUGAUUUACGACACACAUGCACACAUACACAGAUACACACAUCACAAAAUCACGCAAAUUGACGGAUAAUGUUGCCGGCCAGCUCCUUCCUGCUCCACGCCACGGCAUUUUUCUGCACCAUGGUGGCCGUGAAAUACCACGAGACGAUGUCAUGGGUGGCGACGUGUUGUCCGGUGGCGGCGGAUAGCCCGACCUGAACCUCCUGAGCAACAAAGUAGCUCAAAUCGUACUCAUAGCUGACAUCAAACGUCUGAUUGCCGGCGGUGACUUUGACGGAGAUCAUCCUUGUGGCUCCGACGUAGUUGAUCCGCGCAGUUACCUGCUGCUUGAGUAUGGAGCUGUCGACCGGCGUCGUCUUGCUGGAUACCCUAGAGCCGAAGUCGAUGCCGAUGUGGGGAUAGAGCGGAUCCCACGCGCCGUUGACGUAGGUGUCGAUUUCAACGGCGAAGACCCCGGGGCUGUUGCCGUUGGAGCCAAAGAUUCCGAGAUUGGCUCCGUCGGAGCCAGGGGGGAUGGUGGAGUCGACGGGGGCAAUGAAGAAGGCGAGGCCGUCGGCAGGCUCGUUGUCGGCGCCGGGGGUGAUGAUGAAGUUCACGGUGGUUUCGAAGUCGACCUGCCCAUUGGACAUCCAGAAUUGGACCGGUUCCGAGUACAUGACGCGGCCGACUUGGGACGGUUGUGCGUCUGUGAGGCGGAGGAAGGUGGAGUCCGUCGGGAAAUGGGCGUUGCCUUGAUAGAUGAGAUCUUUCGGCUGGUCGCCCCAGAAGUCGAAGGUGAACGACGUCGUUUGGGACAACGCCGUGUUGGAAACGGCGAGGAGGAGGGCGAUGGAGGCGAGGAGAGGAGUUAAGUUGGCCAUGGCUUAAUAGAUUUAGAUUUAGAGAUGUGGUGGAUGAUGGUGGUAUCGAUCUGUUGCACCUAUUUAUACUAGUAUGGUUCAUGCCUGAUAAUAAUUGUAUCAAUCAAUCAUCGUGCAUCUAUCCCAAAUUAUAUGUCUUAUUAUUCACUAAUUAGAUGGAAUAAAUCCUAAUUUGCAAUCUUAAAAUUAAACCGCCAAUGAGGCCUUGCUCUAGUAGCAAAGCUGUGGCACCCAAUAACUUUUCUUUGUGAAAGGUCUUGGGUUCAAUCUCGCCUGCAUGCGGUGAUGUUUGCCCACUUUAGGUGGUGUGGUAUUCUCGCCUGCGUGCGGUGUUAUAUUGUUUAGUGUUAAGGUCCCACAUGCAGGGCGUUCUUGCAUGUGUGCGUGUCACAACCCAAAACCAUUUAUUUUCUUUACAAAUUUUAUAUGAAAAUUAUUUGAUUUUUAAGUUAUAGAGUUUUCGAUAUAUAUACAUAUAGUGUCAAUUUUAUGUUAACUUAGUCGUGUCCCUAAUUAAAAGAAUGAAUUUGAAAUAAAAGUUAAGCCUUAAAAAUUUAAUCUACAUUCAUAUAUAACUGAAAUUACAUGCAUGUCUAAAUAUUAUUUAUAAUUAUCAAUAACGGGAUUAAUGAUUCUAUAUCUCUAUGUUUAUACAUAUAUUCACGUAUGACAUAGUAUAUAUUAGCUAUUAAGUUAAAUAAAAUACUACAGUUUUGCAUAGGAUAUAUAUUUAAUUAGUAGUAGGAUAGGACACGUGUAUUAAUUUUAAGGGCAAGUAAUCAAACUUUUGAAUGAUUCAUCAUGCUUAAAAAAAAGAGACCUAGAUAGAUGAUUCAUCAGAUUCAAAAACAAGUAUAAAUAGACUUCGAGUUUGAAAUUUUAAUUAAUUUGCAACAACCAUUCAAACUGACUGUAUUAAGGUAAGUAGUUACAGAUUUCAUACACAUUAUAUGAUUUCGCGCACAUACGUAUGUAUAUAUAAAUAUUUUUUAAAAUCAUAUAUUAUAUAAUAAUUAUAUUUAAGUUUUAUAUUAUUCUUUAUAAACUAUUGUUCCAUUCUAUAUAAUUAGGUGUGGCAUGACUAGGACGUAACUUUCGAUUGAAUUUCUCAAGUUAAUCUUCAAGUUCAAGUUUCAGGUGUGGGAUUUAUUUAAAUACAUGUCGUGGUUAUUUAUUAUCCAUUUUAAUAAUAUGUGUUUACCAUAUGUGUUAUGAUGCAUAUUUUGAGGAUAUCGCUAGGGGCCCAUAAAUAGGGUCCAGGACUUCACCGUCCUUGGAUUGCCACAAUGCAAUUUGAGGUUUAUUUUGAGGAUGUCGUCAGGGAUCCGUAAAUAGGGUCCAGGACUUUAAUAGUCCUUGGGUUGCCACAGUGCGAAUAUAUUGAGGAUAUAUAUGAAGUGACCGUAUGUGUUACCGUUUCAUUAACGUGGACAAUGAUUGCUUGUUCUCACACUGAGUGUACUCUGUAUGCUCAUCCCAUAUUUAACGUGGAAGGUCGAUUGACGAAUCAAAUAUUUUGUAUUUAGCUUUACCUAAAUAUGUUAUUUUGAGUAAAGUAUUUUAAAUAAAAAUUUAUUUCAUAAUUUUCUCAUUAAAUAUUUAUUUAUAUUCAUAGCUUUUCCGCACAAAUAUUUAUUUAAAUUUUAAUUAGAUUUGGGUGUCACUGUGCGGUGAUGUUUUUCCACCGUUUCGGUGGUGGUGAGGCCCCACCUGCGUGCACGUUAUAUACUUGAUUAUAUUCAGAUACCUCUUGUAAUUUUUAAAAAAAUAAUCAUAAAAUUAAACCAAAGCAUAUAAAAUUGAAAUUGGCCAAAAAAAUAUAUAAAAAUAAAUAAAAUUAAAAAUGGGAUAUAAAGUGAGACAUUAAAUGUGGUACACUACUGAAUCUCAAUCCAACACGUGGAUGCUACAUUGUACUUGUCGGAAUAUUAGAACUUCUACAAAAUAUUGCUAUUGGAAACGUGAAAUUUUAUUAUGAGAAAACUUAUACCUGACCCCACAGUCGUGGGCACGUGUUAUGUUGCGCGGAAAUUAAAGUGGUGGGGACCGUAAAUGGUAUUUUAGUCUUUUAAUUUAUUUUAGUAUACAAAAGAGUUAAUUUUAAAGAGGCGCUAAAAAACACAUCACUUUUAAAAAUUGGUAUUUAAAAUCUUGAACCCCUUUUAUUAUUUUAGAAAGAUAUUAAUUAAUUGAUAAAUUAAUAAAUUAUUAAUUGAAACAAUUAUUUUAAGCAAAUUUAAUUAUAAUUACCUAAAAAUUUAAAAAACAUAAAUUCAAUACCAUUCAAAUUCAACAAACUAACUUAAAUUUUUACUUUAAAAAAUCUUCAUCAAUCUUGCAAUCUCGGCUUGGACUAUAAAUGUUCAACAAGAGACAAUAACCAAUUUUUCAGACAUUUGUGAACAAAAUGAAGCAUGUUUAGAGAUCCUUAAUAAAGGUGUACGAAAUGAUGGAUAAAUAAGUUUGUGAAAAUUUCACCAUACCUAACCCCACAAUUAUUUGCGAUCGAAUAUCCUCGUCACAGGAAAAAGAGAUGAUGACAAAAGGGAAAAAAAAAUUAACAAAGUAGAAGAUGCAUGACAACUGUCAAGAUAAAUAAUGUUACUAAUUAAAUAAUCCAAACUUUAUACGUUUCAUAUCAUAAGUGGCAGUUCUAUAUUUUUUGCGAAAGUGAACAAAAUAACGAAUAAUUUUUAAAGUAAUAGUAAAAGGAGAUGUGUUUUGACAGAAAACGACAUGAGCGGCCUAAAAAUAAGAGGGAAAAAGAUAAUCAUAUAAAUAUUCAAAAUCAAACGGAUUGGCAUGUAUUCAUCAUUUUUUAUUUUAAUAAUUUAACAGUAUUAAAUCAAGAAAUUUAAAGACCGCGCCCCUUACUGCUUGGCUUUAAGAUUAUGUUACAAUAAUAAAAUUAACAGCACGUUUACAAUAUAAAAUUAAUUAUGAUAAAUGCAAUAUAUUAAUAAUAAAUACUCAAUUACCUCUUAACAUAAUUCGCGCAUCAUGGCUUUUAGCUUAUGUUAUAAAGAUGGAGUAUAAAAUAAUCAUCACCUGUGCAUGAUAUUUCACAAAAUAAUUAAAUAAUAAAAUAAUCAAUCAUAAUGCCAAGACGUGACUCUUGUCGGUCAUAUCUCAUCAACUUUAUCUAUAUAGUACAAUGAUGAUUAAUUUGAGAACGACGAUUAAGACACCAACUAUUCUUGUGGGGACACAUGCAUAUAUAGAAUUAAUAUUAUAAACUCUCUCGGUCCACGAAAUAACUUACUAUUUUUUCUUUUAAGAACGUGAACAAAAAAAAUUCCCAUCGAUAUUUCGGAACUAUACCCCACUACUUUAAAAUACCUCAUUUUACCCUUUCUUUUUCACAAAAACAACAAAUUACUAAUAAUUUUUCACUAUUCCUAAUAUACUGAACAAUUUUUCUCCACUCUCAAAUUUUGUAGCACCGAAUAAAAUUAAAUACUAGUAUUAUUUUUUGUAGAACUAUAAAUAAAUAUUAUUCUCAAAACAUGUACUAUUACUUACUAUUUUUUUUAAAUGUGGGACGACCAAAAAAGGAAAGAUGAAUUCUAAAAGCUGGGACAGAGGAUAUAUUAUUUUUCUUCUUGGUUCUGAAGUAUGAAUAUUAAUUAACAAUUCUUCGUCCACAUCAAGCUCACCUUCACGUAAUUUUUUCUUGAACAACACCGAAAAAUAUAUAAUCCCAACAUAGCAUGAUCAAUCUCAAUGCACCAAACAUAAAUUAGUUUUAAAAUAAUAAUAAGAUUAACUACUAUAUUGCUGAAUUAUGCAGUAGAAUUAAAAGCGUGAUUUUUUUUUAAUAGAGCAGGUUAAUCUAGGCCUACCUGAACCAUCUGACUAUGCAUGAGUUUGAUUUUUCUUCUUGAUCUUUUUUAAUUUUACCGACAAAGAAGAUUUUCACAAAUGAAAAGAAAACGUUCUAGUAACAUACUACAUGCUUACUUCAGAUUUGCAACCAAGUCUAUUGAGGGUUUUAUUUGCUACAUAUAUAAACACAAGGAUUUGGUUUGAUACAAAUUAAGAAUAUUCAACUUUCAUCGGCUCAAGCACAUAGAAUCUCCCCGAGUAGUUAUAACUGGUCAAUGUUUUUGCCGAUAAAAAGGAAAAGGAAAGAAAAAAGAAAGAAGCAAGACGGAGAAAAAGUUGUAGUAAAUGAUUAUGCGAUGAAAAGAAAAUGGAAAAGAGAAAGAAAGAAGAAAGUUGUAGGAAUUUUGAAGAAUUUGUACUUAUUUAGAAUUGUGGUUAUUGUGGGAUCUUGUAUAAUAAUAAUAAUAAUAAUAAUAAUAAUAAUAAUAAUUAUUGGGCCGUUCCACGAAUCUUGGCACAUUUUCAAAUAAGGUAAUAAUUCAUUCUCUCUCUUACUUUAUCACUUUAAUACUUUAUUAACUACAAACUUAAAACACUAAUAUACAAUUCCUUAAUUCCCGUGUCGAAACCAAACGUGUCAAGAUUCGUUGGAUGGAGGGAGUAAUAAUAAUAAUAAUAAUAAUAGUAAUAAUAAUAAUAAUAAUAAUAAUAAUACAUCAUUGCCCUUUAAAAAGUUUUAAAAUAGGAACAUAAUAUGUAAAUCUAAUUUUGUAAAAGAAGCUCUUCUAUAGUAAUAGUUAUAGAUUUGGUGUGGAGGCAUUUGUUUGAGAAUGGGUAAAACAUACCAUUAACCCUUUGAUAUAUGCACGAGACACUUAUUUGUGGAUAGGACAAGAAUUAUUUUGUUGCAUAGGAUCCCUUCCAAAUGUAAUUACUGAUUCACAAUUGGAUUAACAAGAAUUAACUUACUUCAUAUUCAGUAUUCCAACUGUUCGAUAAAAGUUCUUAAUGAAAUCUUCCAUAGAUUACCCAAAUGCAUUGUUUUGCAUAGUCCGUACAUUGAGAUGGUCGAGUAUCUUAUGUCUAGACUUAACGAGAGCAGACUCGAUCGCUUAGUCCUUAUUUAUUUACGACACACACACAUCUCAAAAUCACACAAAUUGACGAAUAAUGUUGCCAGCCAGCUCCUUCCUGUUCCACGCGCCAGCAUUUGUCUUCACCAUGGUGGCUGUGAAAUACCAUGAGAUAAUAUCAUGUUUGGCGACGUAUGGUUGGUUUAGUCCGCUGGCGGCGGAGAGCCCUACCUGAACCUGCUCAGGAAGAAACUCGCCCAAAUUGUACACAUGGCUGACCUCAAACGUCUUCGAGCCGGCGGUGGCACUGACGGUGAUCAUCUUCGUGGCUCCGACGUAGUUGAUCCGCGCAGUCACCUGCUGUCCGACUAUGGCGUCUCCGACAUUCGUCGUGUUGCUGGAUUCCCUAGAUCCGAGGUCGAUGCCGAUGUGGGGAUAGUUCGGAUCCCACGGGCUGUUGAUGAAGGUGUCGAACUCGACGGCGAAGACCGAGGGGCUAUUGCCGUUGGAGCCGAAAAUUCCGAGGUUGGCCCCAACAGCGCCACUGGGGAUGGUGGAGCCGACGGGGGCAAUGAAGAAAGCGAGGCCGUCAGCGGUUUUGCCAUCGGGGCUGGGUGUGAUGAUGAAGUUAAUGGUGGUUUCAAAGUCGACUUGGCCACCGGAUUGGGAGAACUGGACCGGCUUCGAGUACAAGACCCGGCCGACCUGGUAUGUCUCGAAGUCGGUGAGGCGGAGGAAGGUGGAGUCCGAUGGGAAAUGGGCGUGGCCUUGGUAGGUGAGAUCGGUCGGCUGGUCGCCCCAGAAGUCGUAGGUGAAGGACGUUGUUUGGGACCACACCGUGUUGGCAGCGGCGGCAAGGAGAAGGGCGAUGGAGAUUAGGGUUUGUUGAAGGUUGGCCAUCGCUUAAUUGAUUUGGAUGUG